rnacentral:rRNA from 1 species
UUGAACGCUGGCGGCAGGCCUAACACAUGCAAGUCGAGCGGAUGAAGGGAGCUUGCUCCUGGAUUCAGCGGCGGACGGGUGAGUAAUGCCUAGGAAUCUGCCUGGUAGUGGGGGAUAACGUCCGGAAACGGGCGCUAAUACCGCAUACGUCCUGAGGGAGAAAGUGGGGGAUGUUCGGACCUCACGCUAUCAGAUGAGCCUAGGUCGGAUUAGCUAGUUGGGGGGGUAAAGGCCUACCAAGGCGACGAUCCGUAACUGGUCUGAGAGGAUGAUCAGUCACACUGGAACUGAGACACGGUCCAGACUCCUACGGGAGGCAGCAGUGGGGAAUAUUGGACAAUGGGCGAAAGCCUGAUCCAGCCAUGCCGCGUGUGUGAAGAAGGUCUUCGGAUUGUAAAGCACUUUAAGUUGGGAGGAAGGGCAGUAAGUUAAUACCUUGCUGUUUUGACGUUACCAACAGAAUAAGCACCGGCUAACUUCGUG